GCCAUGAUAGCUUAGCAUGGAGAGCGAUAGACUGAAGAUCUAAAGGUUUGCGGUUCGGUCCCGGCUAGUGGUU
rfam:Ascaris suum AG00183, whole genome shotgun sequence.